UACGGAGGGUCCAAGCGUUAUCCGGAUUUAUUGGGUUUAAAGGGUGCGUAGGCGGCCCGUUAAGUUAGAGGUGAAAUCCCAAGGCUCAACCUUGGAACUGCCUCUAAAACUGACAGGCUAGAAAAUGGUUGCUGUGGGCGGAAUGUGUAGUGUAGCGGUGAAAUGCUUAGAGAUUACACAGAACACCGAUUGCGAAGGCAGCUCACAAAGCCAAUUUUGACGUUGAGGCACGAAAGCGUGGGGAGCAAACAGG
rnacentral:rRNA from 1 species